UGGUCUUUCCUUGAUGCACUGGCUGCUGGU
rnacentral:piRNA from 1 species